GCCCCGCUAGCUCAGUGGAUAGAGCAGCUGCCUUCUAAGCAGUAGGUCGGGGGUUCGACUCCCUCGCGGGGCACCA
rnacentral:tRNA from 1 species